AUACGUAGGGGGCUAGCGUUAUCCGGAAUUACUGGGCGUAAAGGGUGCGUAGGUGGUUUCUUAAGUCAGAAGUGAAAGGCUACGGCUCAACCGUAGUAAGCUUUUGAAACUAAGAGACUUGAGUGCAGGAGAGGAGAGUGGAAUUCCUAGUGUAGCGGUGAAAUGCGUAGAUAUUAGGAGGAAUACCAGUUGCGAAGGCGGCUCUCUGGACUGUAACUGACACUGAGGCACGAAAGCGUGGGGAGCAAACAGGAUUAGAUACCCUGGUAGUCCACGCCGUAAACGAUGAGUACUAGCUGUCGGGGGUUACCCCCCUCGGUGGCGCAGCUAACGCAUUAAGUACUCCGCCUGGGAAGUACGCUCGCAAGAGUGAAA
rnacentral:rRNA from 1 species